rnacentral:tRNA from 1 species
GCCACGGUGGUCUAUUGGUUAGAACGCUGGCCUUGUAAUCCUGGGGUCUCGGGUUCGAUUCCCGGCGGUGCCC